rnacentral:tRNA from 1 species
CGGCACGUAGCGCAGCCUGGUAGCGCACCGUCAUGGGGUGUCGGGGGUCGGAGGUUCAAAUCCUCUCGUGCCGCCCA